CCUACGGGUGGCAGCAGUGAGGAAUAUUGGUCAAUGGACGAGAGUCUGAACCAGCCAAGUAGCGUGAAGGAUGACUGCCCUAUGGGUUGUAAACUUCUUUUAUAUGGGAAUAAAAUGUUCCACGUUUGGGAUUUUGUAUGUACCAUAUGAAUAAGGAUCGGCUAACUCCGUGCCAGCAGCCGCGGUAAUACGGAGGAUCCGAGCGUUAUCCGGAUUUAUUGGGUUUAAAGGGAGCGUAGGUGGAUUGUUAAGUCAGUUGUGAAAGUUUGCGGCUCAACCGUAAAAUUGCAGUUGAAACUGGCAGUCUUGAGUACAGUAGAGGUGGGUGGAAUUCGUGGUGUAGCGGUGAAAUGCUUAGAUAUCACGAAGAACUCCGAUUGCGAAGGCAGUUCACUGGACUGCAACUGACACUGAGGCUCGAAAGUGUGGGUAUCAAACAGGAUUAGAUACCCCAGUAGUC
rnacentral:rRNA from 1 species